rnacentral:rRNA from 1 species
UACGGAGGGUGCGAGCGUUAAUCGGAAUUACUGGGCGUAAAGCGCGCGUAGGCGGUUUGUUAAGUCAGCUGUGAAAGCCCCGGGCUCAACCUGGGAACUGCAGUUGAUACUGACCGACUAGAGUACGAGAGAGGGAGGUAGAAUUCCAUGUGUAGCGGUGAAAUGCGUAGAUAUCUGGAGGAACACCGGUGGCGAAGGCGGCAUCCUGGACCGGCAUUGACGCUGAGGAGCGAAAGCCAGGGGAGCAAACGGG